AGUGAACGCUGGCGGUAGGCCUAACACAUGCAAGUCGAACGGCAGCACAGUAAGAGCUUGCUCUUACGGGUGGCGAGUGGCGGACGGGUGAGGAAUACAUCGGAAUCUACUUUUUCGUGGGGGAUCACGUAGGGAAACUUACGCUAAUACCGCAUACGACCUACGGGUGAAAGCAGGGGAUCUUCGGACCUUGCGCGGUUGAAUGAGCCGAUGUCGGAUUAGCUAGUUGGCGGGGUAAAGGCCCACCAAGGCGACGAUCCGUAGCUGGUCUGAGAGGAUGAUCGGCCACACUGGAACUGAGACACGGUCCAGACUCCUACGGGAGGCAGCAGUGGGGAAUAUUGGACAAUGGGCGCAAGCCUGAUCCAGCCAUACCGCGUGGGUGAAGAAGGCCUUCGGGUUGUAAAGCCCUUUUGUUGGGAAAGAAAAGCAGCAGGUUAAUACCCCGCUGUUCUGACGGUACCCAAAGAAUAAGCACCGGCUAACUUCGUG
rnacentral:rRNA from 1 species